rnacentral:lncRNA from 1 species
AGCAGUCACCAAGGGGGGGGGUACCAGAAGAGGUAAGUCAGUCAUUGCUCUUUGCUUCCCUGCUGGAUGGAGGUAAGCAAAUUAUUUGUCAAUGCAAUUAGCAGUGGAGUGUCUAACAACAAAACAACUGAAUUUUUUGCGUUUACCGUUUGUCUUGGGUAACAAGACAAUUGUUUAAGUAUGAAGCAGUUUUGACAGCAGAGAGACUUAUCCUUCUUAAGCCACUGAAUCUGUUCUAUUUAUUGGGUAGUAAAUUUCCUUAAAAUGCUCUCAUCAUUAUCCAAAUAACAGGCUGAAAAUUACUCAGAAUAUAAAUUGUUCUAGAUAUCUCUAUUUUGUGUAACAUGAAUAUUGCAGAAUCUAGCCCAGCUGACACCUGUUCUCUUUUGGCACUCUUUUACAAAAUAGGGAAGUGGGUUUUUUGGUAUGUGUUUGUAGAGUAUUUUGGUUUUUCGUUUUUGGCUGUUUUGGAGAAGUGAGCUCUAAUACUGACUACCUAGAGUUUGUCUUCACCCUGUGAAACUGAGUCUGAGUUCUCCCACAAAUGGCCCUCCCUUAUCACAUCAACCAUAAAUAUACUGGUUCCCAAGGCCACUCUUACUUUGGACCAACAGACUAUAAAUUCAGAGUUCUCGCUAGAUCUUCAGGUUUGAUAAUUCACUAGAAUAAUUCACAAACCUCAGGAAAGUUAUGCUAUUUUAUUAUAGCAAAAAGGAUAAAUCAGAACCAACAAAAAGGGGGGGUGCACGGUAUAAGGAUCCAGGAAGAUCUUGAACAUGAUGCUUCCAUGUCCUCUCCCAUGGGGUCAGGACAGGUCACCUUCUCAGCACACUGUUCACAUUGAUGUCUAACAAUAUGCACAAAGUACUAUCAAGCAGAAAAACUCACUCACUCAAGCUUUAGUGUCAAGAGUUUCAUUGGGAUUUCAUUAACAUAGUCACAAUUGAAAUCAACUUCCUGACCAAUAAUUCAGCCUCUCCCUAUCUCCUUCAGAGGGGAGGACUGAUGUCAUGUGACUCAAAGUCCCAGGCCUUAUAAUCACAUGGUUGGUCUUUCUAGCUUUACUAGCUCCUAUACUGAAUCAUUUGUGCCUUAGCUCCCUAGGAGCCAAAGGCUCUUCUGCCAUGGGAUGAUUUUAUACUUACUUAAAUAAGCUGCUUUGAUUCUCAUUACCUAUUUCCUUGCCCCAAAUCAUAGCCUUACAAUUCGUCCUCCAUCUCUAAUCUUUUUGACUUCAAACAGCCAAGUAGUCCACUGCCAGAAGGAAAUGUUCUUGUUUGCUCAAAUUCUUAGUCUGAUAUUUUAUGUGUCAAUAGGAAGAUGAUAGUUUUACUGAUUUUGAAAGUUCUAUUGGUCCAUUAACAGAACCUUCCAAAUGUGCUUAGCUUUUCACAACUUAGCCUCUAGAUGUUUUACCAAAUAGAUGCUUGUCCUGCUUAAAGUUAAUUUAAUAUUUCAUGUCUGAAUUUCAUGCAUUUUGUUAUCUAAGUCACUUUGACUUCUAAUAAUUUUCUGUGAAUAUAGUACAUAUGUGUCUAGUAUCUGGAAUACAGUAAAUUAAGUACAGAAAUCUUCAGUGACUAAUUCCCAAACAUCAAAGAUCAAAUGUUUUUUAAACUCACUAGAUUGGGGUAUCUGCCAAGAUUUACCAUAGUAUAGGUAAAAGAUGUCCAACCAAUCCACAACCAUAGCUGCAAACAUUAGUGUACACUGGUCUUUUAAUAUAUAUGACUCCAAAUAUAAAAAGCUUCACCUAAUUCAAAUUUUCCUUGAAAAAUUAACUUACUAGCUGCAAGCCAAGGAUGUGAGUGGAUCCAUUCCUCACCACUUAUGUAUCUCCAUAACCUUACGUAUCUCCAUAACCUAUGUAUUAAAUGAUUAAUAACCAAUCCACAUAAAAUUGUUAGUAGGAAAUAUAGGGAAAACAUCAUGUAGAAAAGUAGCAUGUCACUAUAUAAAGUUUAAUAAAAUGAUGCAUCAUAGACAAAUGAGAGGUUGUAACUUAUUCCUGAAACUAAUUAGAAGAUUUGCUGGCUUUUGUGUCUUCUAUCCUCUAUUUCUUUGUCCUUUUGCCUAUAAUGAUCAUCUACACUGGUCAAUGCCUUCUAACAAAUGAGUUUUUGGAUAUUCUGCUUUAAUAGUGUCUCAGAACUUUGUUACUAUAUAUUUUGGAGUAUAAUGGUACAAGGCAUGCAAGUAAAUCAUCUAGAGUCCACUCAUUCUUUCAUGAGUAUACUACAUUUGAAAUUUUUCUUGAUUGUCAUGGGGAAAUACCUUGCUGAUACUGAAUUUUGCUUAUUUGAAACUAAAAAACUAAAAAUUGUCAUGUGGCCUCUGAUAAAGGAGUACCUCUUGCCAUACUAAAAUGAUGGGGUCCAUGAAAUUACAUCAUCAUCCAGUAUUGGAUCAAAAUUUAAAAAGAACAAACAAGGACAUUUCAAGAGGCUAGUGCUCCCUAAACCAGUGUAUUUGAGCAGAGAUUCUGAACUAUAGCUGGUAUCCAUGGCUCCUCCUAUAGUUCUUGAUAAAUCUAAAUCAGAAGUCUGCCUUCAAAAAUCACUAUCAUUUCCUUUAUUAUAUAUCAAAGAAUUAUUGAUACUAUAUUAGCAUUACUAUGUGAUUCACAUAACCAAAACUAUUCUGGAAAAAGAUAAAACUGGCUGUGGUAUCUUGAGCUAGAAGUUUCAAUCUAUCUAACCUAACUAGUUAAAACAAAUGAAAAAUUUCAUCUCAGUGGGGUUCAAUUCCUUUUCAAUCCCACAUUCUUAGAUUGAAAAAGAAUUGGCAACUUAAAUUAGCAAAUCCCUGCAACUCUUAAUGAAAGACUUCUACAAUUCUCCCCAGGAUACUUUGUUAUCUAUAUCUUAUCUGAAUGGAUAGGGCUAGAGACUGUGGCUGUCAGGAUGGUAGCUGAUUUUCCAUUACAAGUAAUCAAUUUGAAUGGUCAAUUACAAUAUAUUCAAUCAAGGCAAGACCAGAGUUGUCCCCUUCAAGGAAGAAGGGACUUCACUGGUUGCCAAGAAAACAUCACUAGGGCUUUGGAAAUAGGAAUACACCAAAUCCCCAAAAGAUUUCCCUUGAAAUUCUUAGUCUCUUACCUGAUAAGUAUCCAAAUUUUCAUAUAGGACAUCUGAUGAAGCAGGAAAUUACAUUUCUGCUUCCUUAGGGAACAAAAUAGUACAGGUGUUUGCAUAAAAUAUUAUAGCUCUGCAAAUGUUAGGAAGAUUCUUUUAGAAGAGUUUCAGGAAUCCCCUAUGGUUUAGACUGUUCAUUGCAUUAAGAAUUUAGAGACUAAAGUCUGUCAUUAUUUUUGGUUCUUCAGCCAUCUCAUACUGUAGCUGUAUAAUUCUUGAUGGAUCUCAAAGCUUGCCUUCAAUGGGGAAUUUAUUCCAGGUGGCCCCCAAAAAUAAUGCAGUCAGCCAUCAUGCUAUUUGCAUGUGUGCAGUAUUUCAGUAGUUAUUAACUGGUUUGCAAUUGUCUAACCCCAGUUAGAUCAUGGAUACACUUCCAAAUUUACCUGUUUACUUGAACCUCACUUUUAAUAGUCUUCUGAUGAGUCAGGUAGUCCUAAAUAGAGAAUGAAUUUAAUCUCUAGAGAAUGAGUAUUUUAGAUGGAAAAAGUGAGUACCUCAUAGGGUUUACUAAAAGGUUAGGGAAUUAGGCUAAGGGAAUCAGCAGGAAAAGCGAAUGUCAAGUACCAAAACAGUACAUAAAGAAUGGAUUGUUCUGUGGCCUCUUCUGCUGACCACUUGAUGUCCCCAAAAGGGUGAUAUCACUUGAUAGAGUAUCACUUUGUUGAACUGAAUGAAUCCCCAAUUAGCUUCUUGUUUUGAAAUAUUUCUAUAACUCCCCAUAUUCUACUACUAAUGACAUUUAUGACCUCAAUGCAAGAGGAAGAAAAGGGAAAAAUAAUACCUUUUACAUGGGAGGAGGAGAGGGGGAAAGACUCACUUCAAGUACAUAACCCAAUGCUUAAUUUCAUCCAGUAAUAUUCAGAACUAUGAAAAUAUCUUAACAUGAAGAAUAAAACAAUCAUUUGAAUGCAAGUUCAUUGUUAAAAUUUCCAUAGAUAACUUUUCAUACUUUACCUUAGGAAAUACUUAAAAGGCCACCUGAUUUGGUAUUUAAAUACUUAAGCCUCUUCUCUAACUGCCUAGAGGAAAUUUCUAAUGCUACUAUAUUUAAUAUAGCAUGCCUUGCAAUAUUUCACUAGAAUCACCUAAAACUCCAGAGAAAUCAUAUUCUUUAUGGGUUCCAUAAAUGGUGUCAUUUUUAAGAGCACAAUUUCAAAAGGCACAUAUGAGAAUAUAGUGAUACGACAAAGUCUGUCUGGGAUAUUCAAACAGACACCUAAAUCUCCAAGGGGCUGGGUAGAGGUCAACAUUUAUACAAUAUUUAUAAUGAAAAGCCUGAGAAACAUCUUUCUACUGUUACAUUUCAUGUACAUCACUACAUUAUCCACCAUGAAGCUGACAUUUUUACUGGCUGAGGUAUUACUGCUUCAAAAUCAAACUCAAAAUCAAGUUUUUUUUAGUUUAGAACUGAAAUAUCCCACAAAGACAAUCAAACAAGUACAUUUCAAGUUGCAUACUGUUAUAUUUUGUCAGAAAUGAUUCAACAAUUCAGGCAACCUAGGCUAAUCCUUUGGGAAAAAAAAUGAUGAUUAGCCAGCUAUUGCUAAAUUAAACACAACAUGUAGAAAAAUUAUCUUAUAAUAAAACUGGAAAAAAUUUUUGAUAGUAUUAAUAGUAUAAAGUGUAAAUGCUGGAUGUGUGUAUAUAUGCUGUGUGUGUGUGGUAAGUCAUGGUAAGUGGAGUGAAAAUUGCUUAGAAGUUAGACACAAAUAAAAUUUCCAAGUUCCCUUCUCACCCUUGUGAUGUAGAACUAAUAAUCUUUACACAUGUGUACAUUAGUUUAACUAUAAAAUGUAGAUUAUCCUUACUCAUAAGAACAAAUUGAAGACUCAAGUCUUAUGCAAACAUAAUUAAGAAUGAAGCUGUACUAAAACUAGGAGAAAUCCUAAUUUUAAAUUCCAUGUUAAAUAUAAGAAAAAAUGUACAUCUGCUAGUCUUCUCCAUGACACACAGGAUGUACCAGCUAAUUGUCCUCUUUCUGUCUCUGUAAGCAGAUCUCCAGCUAAAGGAAAUUUGGUUUCAUUAACUUAUUGAAGAUAAUUAUAUAUUGCUCACAUAUUGACUGUAAGGAUAGAAAAUUCAAACGUCAGAAGUUGCUAUUGUGGCUCAGCAGAAAUGAAUCUGAUUAGAAUCCAUGAGGAUGAAAGUUAAAUCCCUGGCCUUGCUCAAUCAAGGAUCUGGCAUUGCCGUGAACUGUGGUGUAGGUCGCAGACACGGCUCGGAUUCCAUGUUUCUUUGGUUGUGGCAUAGGCUGAUGGCUCCAGCUCCGAUUUGACCCCUAGCCUGGGAAUCUCCAUAAGCCAUGAGCGUAGCCCCCACCCCCACCCAAAAGACAAAAAAUUCAAAUGUCCAGUUACUCUAAAUUCCAAUGACUUCUGAAAUUUGAGAUAAUUUUUGAAAUUAAAGUCAAGAAAUAGGGAAAAUGGCAGUUGUUGGCAGCUUCAACAGCCUGUCCUUUCAUAUAAACAUAAAAAAUUAAGCAAAAUUUUCAGAAUCAUCUUUGUCAGACCUUAGAAAAACAAUCAAAGGCUGCAAUAACCAAGCAAGUAGUUGUCUGGGGCUUGGUGAAAGGGGUAUUAUAGGAAGUGAGAGUUUAAUGAGUACCCCAUACUCAUUUCCUUUAAGUGUUAAGUACUCUGAAACCAGAGUGGUAAAAGUUGUCCAAUUUGAGUGUACUACAUCCCAACUGAAUUAUAGAUCUUAAAACUGUUACAAGAAAUUUUUGUUUUUUUCUGUAAUGAAAACCUGAUAAAAUAUGAAAUAUGAAUAGUUCAACAUUUAUUAAAGUCUCCAACAUAAAGUCCAAAUGGUUUUUCUUAUAAAAUUUAUAAUUUAAAGUAAAAACACAUGGAGUUCUCGUCGUGGCGCAGUGGUUAACGAAUCCAACUAGGAACCAUGAAGUUGCGGGUUCGGUCCCUGCCCUUGCUCAGUGGGUUAAUGAUCCGGCGUUGCCGUGAGCUGUGGUGUAGGUUGCAGAUGCGGCUUGGAUCCUGCGUUGCUGUGGCUCUGGCGUGGGCUGGUGGCUACAGCUCCAAUUCGACCCCUAGCCUGGGAACUUCCAUAUGCCGCAGGAGUGGCCCAAGAAAUAGCUAAAAAG